rnacentral:rRNA from 1 species
AUUGAACGCUGGCGGCAUGCUUUACACAUGCAAGUCGGACGGCAGCAUAAAAGAGCUUGCUCUUUUGAUGGCGAGUGGCGAACGGGUGAGUAAUGCAUCGGAACGUACCGAGUAGUGGGGGAUAACUGUCCGAAAGGAUGGCUAAUACCGCAUAUUCUCUGAGGAGGAAAGCAGGGGACCUUAGGGCCUUGCGCUAUUUGAGCGGCCGAUGUCUGAUUAGCUAGUUGGUGGGGUAAGAGCCCACCAAGGCGACGAUCAGUAGCGGGUCUGAGAGGAUGAUCCGCCACACUGGGACUGAGACACGGCCCAGACUCCUACGGGAGGCAGCAGUGGGGAAUUUUGGACAAUGGGCGCAAGCCUGAUCCAGCCAUGCCGCGUGUAUGAAGAAGGCCUUCGGGUUGUAAAGUACUUUUGUCAGGGAAGAAAAGCCUGAGGAUAACACCCUCAGGUCAUGACGGUACCUGAAGAAUAAGCACCGGCUAACUACGUGCUAGCAGCCGCGGUAAUACGUAGGGUGCGAGCGUUAAUCGGAAUUACUGGGCGUAAAGCGAGCGCAGACGGUUAUUUAAGCAAGAUGUGAAAGCCCCGGGCUCAACCUGGGAACUGCGUUUUGAACUGGGUAACUAGAGUGUGUCAGAGGGGGGUAGAAUUCCACGUGUAGCAGUGAAAUGCGUAGAGAUGUGGAGGAAUACCGAUGGCGAAGGCAGCCCCCUGGGAUAACACUGACGUUCAUGCUCGAAAGCGUGGGUAGCAAACAGG